rnacentral:rRNA from 1 species
GUCGAACGAACUCUGGUAUUGAUUGGUGCUUGCAUCAUGAUUUACAUUUGAGUGAGUGGCGACCUGGUGAGUAACACGUGGGAAACCUGCCCAGAAGCGGGGGAUAACACCUGGAAACAGAUGCUAAUACCGCAUAACAACUUGGACCGCAUGGUCCGAGCUUGAAAGAUGGCUUCGGCUAUCACUUUUGGAUGGUCCCGCGGCGUAUUAGCUAGAUGGUGGGGUAACGGCUCACCAUGGCAAUGAUACGUAGCCGACCUGAGAGGGUAAUCGGCCACAUUGGGACUGAGACACGGCCCAAACUCCUACGGGAGGCAGCAGUAGGGAAUCUUCCACAAUGGACGAAAGUCUGAUGGAGCAACGCCGCGUGAGUGAAGAAGGGUUUCGGCUCGUAAAACUCUGUUGUUAAAGAAGAACAUAUCUGAGAGUAACUGUUCAGGUAUUGACGGUAUUUAACCAGAAAGCCACGGCUAACUACGUGCCAGCAGCCGCGGUAAUACGUAGGUGGCAAGCGUUGUCCGGAUUUAUUGGGCGUAAAGCGAGCGCAGGCGGUUUUUUAAGUCUGAUGUGAAAGCCUUCGGCUCAACCGAAGGAAGUGCAUCGGAAACUGGGAAACUUGAGUGCAGAAGAGGACAGUGGAACUCCAUGUGUAGCGGUGAAAUGCGUAGAUAUAUGGAAGAUCACCAGUGGCGAAGGCGGCUGUCUGGUCUGUAACUGACGCUGAGGCUCGAAAGUAUGGGUAGCAAACAGGAUUAGAUACCCUGGUAGUCCAUACCGUACACGAUGAAUGCUAAGUGUUGGAGGGUUUCCGCCCUUCAGUGCUGCAGCUAACGCAUUAAGCAUUCCGCCUGGGGAGUACGGCCGCAAGGCUGAAACUCAAAGGAAUUGACGGGGGCCCGCACAAGCGGUGGAGCAUGUGGUUUAAUUCGAAGCUACGCGAAGAACCUUACCAGGUCUUGACAUACUAUGCAAAUCUAAGAGAUUAGACGUUCCCUUCGGGGACAUGGAUACAGGUGGUGCAUGGUUGUCGUCAGCUCGUGUCGUGAGAUGUUGGGUUAAGUCCCGCAACGAGCGCAACCCUUAUUAUCAGUUGCCAGCAUUAAGUUGGGCACUCUGGUGAGACUGCCGGUGACAAACCGGAGGAAGGUGGGGAUGACGUCAAAUCAUCAUGCCCCUUAUGACCUGGGCUACACACGUGCUACAAUGGAUGGUACAACGAGUUGCGAACUCGCGAGAGUAAGCUAAUCUCUUAAAGCCAUUCUCAGUUCGGAUUGUAGGCUGCAACUCGCCUACAUGAAGUCGGAAUCGCUAGUAAUCGCUGUUCAGCAUGCCGCGGUGAAUACGUUCCCGGGCCUUGUACACACCGCCCGUCACACCAUGAGAGUUUGUAACACCACAAAGUCGGUGGGGUACACCUUUUAGGAACC